rnacentral:rRNA from 1 species
GGUUAAGCGACUAAGCGUACACGGUGGAUGCCUAGGCAGUCAGAGGCGAUGAAGGGCGUGCUAAUCUGCGAAAAGCGUCGGUAAGGUGAUAUGAACCGUUACAACCGACGAUACCCGAAUGGGGAAACCCAGUGCAAUUCGUUGCACUAUUGCAUGGUGAAUACAUAGCCAUGCAAGGCGAACCGGGGGAACUGAAACAUCUAAGUACCCCGAGGAAAAGAAAUCAACCGAGAUUCCCCCAGUAGCGGCGAGCGAACGGGGAGGAGCCCAGAACCUGAAUCAGCGUAUGUGUUAGUGGAAGCGUCUGGAAAGUCGCACGGUACAGGGUGAUAGUCCCGUACACAAAAAUGCAUAUGUUGUGAGUUCGAUGAGUAGGGCGGGACACGUGACAUCCUGUCUGAAUAUGGGGGGACCAUCCUCCAAGGCUAAAUACUCCUGACUGACCGAUAGUGAACCAGUACCGUGAGGGAAAGGCGAAAAGAACCCCGGCGAGGGGAGUGAAAUAGAACCUGAAACCGUGUACGUACAAGCAGUGGGAGCACCUUCGUGGUGUGACUGCGUACCUUUUGUAUAAUGGGUCAGCGACUUAUAUUUUGUAGCAAGGUUAACCGAAUAGGGGAGCCGUAGGGAAACCGAGUCUUAACUGGGCGAAUAGUUGCAAGGUAUAGACCCGAAACCCGGUGAUCUAGCCAUGGGCAGGUUGAAGGUUGGGUAACACUAACUGGAGGACCGAACCGACUAAUGUUGAAAAAUUAGCGGAUGACUUGUGGCUGGGGGUGAAAGGCCAAUCAAACCGGGAGAUAGCUGGUUCUCCCCGAAAGCUAUUUAGGUAGCGCCUCGUGAACUCAUCUUCGGGGGUAGAGCACUGUUUCGGCUAGGGGGUCAUCCCGACUUACCAAACCGAUGCAAACUCCGAAUACCGAAGAAUGUUAUCACGGGAGACACACGGCGGGUGCUAACGUCCGUCGUGAAGAGGGAAACAACCCAGACCGCCAGCUAAGGUCCCAAAGUCAUGGUUAAGUGGGAAACGAUGUGGGAAGGCAUAGACAGCCAGGAUGUUGGCUUAGAAGCAGCCAUCAUUUAAAGAAAGCGUAAUAGCUCACUGGUCGAGUCGGCCUGCGCGGAAGAUGUAACGGGGCUAAACCAUG